GCGCUUGUAGUCCAAUGGUUAGGAUAAUUGCCAUCAAAGUAAUAGACCCGGGUUUGACUCUCGGUAAAUGCA
rnacentral:tRNA from 1 species